rnacentral:rRNA from 1 species
GACGAACGCUGGCGGCGGGCUUAACACAUGCAAGUCGAGCGCCCCGCAAGGGGAGCGGCAGACGGGUGAGUAACGCGUGGGAAUCUACCCAUCCCCACGGAAUAGCUCCGGGAAACUGGAAUUAAUACCGUAUACGCCCUACGGGGGAAAGAUUUAUCGGGGAUGGAUGAGCCCGCGUUGGAUUAGCUAGUUGGUGGGGUAAAGGCCUACCAAGGCGACGAUCCAUAGCUGGUCUGAGAGGAUGAUCAGCCACAUUGGGACUGAGACACGGCCCAAGCUCCUACGGGAGGCAGCAGUGGGGAAUAUUGGACAAUGGGGGCAACCCUGAUCCAGCCAUGCCGCGUGAGUGAUGAAGGCCUUAGGGUUGUAAAGCUCUUUCACCGGGGAAGAUAAUGACGGUACCUGGAGAAGAAGCCCCGGCUAACUUCGUGCCAGCCGCCGCCGUAA